rnacentral:rRNA from 1 species
AACGUAGGGGGCUAGCGUUGCUCGGAAUUACUGGGCGUAAAGCGCACGUAGGCGGCUCUUUAAGUCGGGGGUGAAAUCCUGGAGCUCAACUCCAGAACUGCCUUCGAUACUGUAGAGCUUGAGUUCGGGAGAGGUGAGUGGAACUGCGAGUGUAGAGGUGAAAUUCGUAGAUAUUCGCAAGAACACCAGUGGCGAAGGCGGCUCACUGGCCCGAUACUGACGCUGAGGUGCGAAAGCGUGGGGAGCAAACAGG